rnacentral:rRNA from 1 species
UACGUAGGGGGCAAGCGUUGUCCGGAUUUAUUGGGCGUAAAGAGCGUGUAGGCGGCCUGGUAGGUCGGUUGUGAAAACUCGAGGCUUAACCUCGAGAUGUCAUCGGAAACCAUCUGGCUAGAGUCCGGAAGAGGAGAGUGGAAUUCCUGGUGUAGCGGUGAAAUGCGCAGAUAUCAGGAAGAACACCAAUGGCGAAAGCAGCUCUCUGGGACGGUACUGACGCUGAGACGCGAAAGCGUGGGGAGCGAACAGG